GCAGGCGUAGCAGGAAGGGUCCUGCCCCGGACCGUUGAUCCGGAGACCGCGGUUCGAUUCCGCGCGCCUGCG
rnacentral:tRNA from 1 species